rnacentral:rRNA from 1 species
UACGUAGGGGGCAAGCGUUGUCCGGAUUUAUUGGGCGUAAAGAGCGUGUAGGCGGUCAGGUAGGUCCGUUGUGAAAACUCGAGGCUCAACCUCGAGACGCCGAUGGAAACCAUCUGACUAGAGUCCGGAAGAGGAGAGUGGAAUUCCUGGUGUAGCGGUGAAAUGCGUAGAUAUCUGGAGGAACACCGGUGGCGAAGGCGGCAUCCUGGACCGACACUGACGCUGAGGAGCGAAAGCCAGGGGAGCAAACGGG